rnacentral:rRNA from 1 species
AACGAACGCUGGCGGCAUGCCUAACACAUGCAAGUCGAACGAGACCUUCGGGUCUAGGGGCGCACGGGGGCGUAACGCGUGGGAACCUGCCCUUAGGGUCGGAAUAACUCCCCGAAAGGGGUGCUAAUACCGGAUAAUGUCUUCGGACCCAAGAUUUAUCGCCUUUGGAUGGGCCCGCGUUGGAUUAGCUAGUUGGUAGGGUAAAAGCCUACCAAGGCGACGAUCCAUAGCUGGUCUGAGAGGAUGAUCAGCCACACUGGGACGGAGACACGGCCCAGACUCCUACGGGAAGCAGCAGUGGGGAAUAUUGGACCAUGGGCGAAAGCCUGAUCCAGCAAUGCCGCGUGAGUGAUGAAGGCCUUAGGGUUGUAAAGCUCUUUUACCCGGGAUGAUAAUGACAGUACCGGGAGAAUAAGCUCCGGCUAACUCCGUG